rnacentral:rRNA from 1 species
AAUAGAUACCCGGGUAGUCCACGCCGUAAACGAUGAAUGCUAGGUGUUAGGGGUUUCGAUACCCUUGGUGCCGAAGUCGACACAUUAAGCAUUCCGCCUGGGGAGUACGGUCGCAAGACUGAAACUCAAAGGAAUUGACGGGGACCCGCACAAGCAGUGGAGUAUGUGGUUUAAUUCGAAGCAACGCGAAGAACCUUACCAGGUCUUGACAUCCCUCUGAAUACGCUAGAGAUAGGGUAGGCCUUCGGGACAGAGGAGACAGGUGGUGCAUGGUUGUCGUCAGCUCGUGUCGUGAGAUGUUGGGUUAAGUCCCGCAACGAGCGCAACCCUUGAUCUUAGUUGCCAGCAGGUAAGGCUGGGCACUCUAAGAUGACUGCCGGUGACAAACCGGAGGAAGGUGGGGAUGACGUCAAAUCAUCAUGCCCCUUAUGACCUGGGCUACACACGUACUACAAUGGCCGGUACAACGGGAAGCGAAGCCGCGAGGUGGAGCGAAUCCAAUGAAAGCCGGUCUCAGUUCGGAUUGCAGG